rnacentral:rRNA from 1 species
UAACGGCAAGUGAAGCGGCAAGAGCUCAAAUUUGAAAGCUGGCUCCUUCGGAGUCCGCAUUGUAAUUUGCAGAGGAUGCUUUGGGUGCGGCCCCCGUCUAAGUGCCCUGGAACGGGCCGUCAGAGAGGGUGAGAAUCCCGUCUUGGGCGGGGUGUCCGUGCCCGUGUAAAGCUCCUUCGACGAGUCGAGUUGUUUGGGAAUGCAGCUCUAAAUGGGUGGUAAAUUUCAUCUAAAGCUAAAUACUGGCCGGAGACCGAUAGCGCACAAGUAGAGUGAUCGAAAGAUGAAAAGCACUUUGAAAAGAGAGUUAAACAGCACGUGAAAUUGUUGAAAGGGAAGCGCUUGCGACCAGACUCGCCCGCGGGGUUCAGCCGGCAUUCGUGCCGGUGUACUUCCCCGUGGGCGGGCCAGCGUCGGUUUGGGCGGCCGGUCAAAGGCCCCUGGAAUGUAGUGCCCUCCGGGGCACCUUAUAGCCAGGGGUGCAAUGCGGCCAGCCUGGACCGAGGAACGCGCUUCGGCACGGACGCUGGCAUAAUGGUCGUAAACGACCCGUCUUGAAACACGGACCAAGGAGUCUAACAUCUACGCGAGUGUUCGGGUGUCAAACCCGUGCGCGCAGUGAAAGCGAACGGAGGUGGGAGCCCCCUUGCGGGGCGCACCAUCGACCGAUCCUGAUGUCUUCGGAUGGAUUUGAGUAAGAGCGUAGCUGUGGGGACCCGAAAGAUGGUGAACUAUGCCUGAAUAGGGCGAAGCCAGAGGAAACUCUGGUGGAGGCUCGCAGCGGUUCUGACGUGCAAAUCGAUCGUCAAAUUUGGGUAUAGGGGCGAAAGACUAAUCGAACCAUCUAGUAGCUGGUUCCUGCCGAAGUU